rnacentral:rRNA from 1 species
CCUACGGGGGGCUGCAGUGGGGAAUAUUGGACAAUGGGGGCAACCCUGAUCCAGCCAUGCCGCGUGUGUGAAGAAGGCCCUCGGGUUGUAAAGCACUUUCAGUGAGGAAGAACGCCUGGUGGUUAAUACCCAUCAGGAAAGACAUCACUCACAGAAGAAGCACCGGCUAACUCCGUGCCAGCAGCCGCGGUAAUACGGAGGGUGCGAGCGUUAAUCGGAAUUACUGGGCGUAAAGCGCGCGUAGGUGGCUUGAUAAGCCGGUUGUGAAAGCCCCGGGCUCAACCUGGGAACGGCAUCCGGAACUGUCAAGCUAGAGUGCAGGAGAGGAAGGUAGAAUUCCCGGUGUAGCGGUGAAAUGCGUAGAGAUCGGGAGGAAUACCAGUGGCGAAGGCGGCCUUCUGGACUGACACUGACACUGAGGUGCGAAAGCGUGGGUAGUAAACAGGAUUAGAUACCCCAGUAGUC